rnacentral:rRNA from 1 species
AGCGAACGCUGGCGGCAGGCUUAACACUUGCAAGUCGAGCGGGCCCUUCGGGGUCAGCGGCAGACGGGUGAGUAACACGUGGGAACGUACCCUUUGGUUCGGAAUAACGCUGGGAAACUAGCGCUAAUACCGGAUACGCCCUUUUGGGGAAAGGCUUGCUGCCGAAGGAUCGGCCCGCGUCUGAUUAGCUAGUUGGUGGGGUAAUGGCCUACCAAGGCGACGAUCAGUAGCUGGUCUGAGAGGAUGAUCAGCCACACUGGGACUGAGACACGGCCCAGACUCCUACGGGAGGCAGCAGUGGGGAAUAUUGGACAAUGGGCGCAAGCCUGAUCCAGCCAUGCCGCGUGAGUGAUGAAGGCCUUAGGGUUGUAAAGCUCUUUUGUCCGGGACGAUAAUGACGGUACCGGAAGAAUAAGCCCCGGCUAACUUCGUG